GACUCAAGGAAAGCAUGGUGCCUGCUAAAAUGGAUGGCAAGAGUAAAGAUUACAAUGUAUAUCCAUUCUCUAAGUACCCAGAAUGUUGACUCUUCCAGAGCCAUCAGAUCUCUUCACCUCCUUGCCUGGAUCAUCUCAAGCUCUGGAAAGUCUGAGCAGAUUCUAGAUUACAACACCCCCAUGGGUACCAGCGGAGGACAAGGACCAUGAAUAUUCCACGUCUGUCUGAAACCUUUAUCAAGCAGAGGUCAAGAACAGCUCUUUCCUUUUCAAAAUUCAAGGCAAAUGUCCAAAAUUUUCAACCAUGCGGAUUUUUAAAGCAACAAAAUUGAGACUGUCUUACCACCUAGAAUUUCAUGAUUGCUCAUUUAUUCCAUCACUGUAUAAGCAGUUGUUCUAUUAUUUUAUAAAAAGAAAUGGAGUUGAAUUAAGACUAUCAAGCUAUACCUUAUAUUAAUGGAAGACAAGAUUCACAGUUUAAAUAUUUUUUUCUUAGUUUAGCUUAUUAGUCUUUUCUAAAUUAUCCUAAUCACCAAGUAUUAUACUUACAUAUUCUGAAGUAUUUAAAAGCAUAAAUAAGAAUGAAAAGCAGCCCCAGGCAGCUUCUUGCAUUACAUCUGGGCAACUGCUGACAUUCUAGGAUCAAAAACUGAAACUAAUAUAUCUACUUAGUCUGGUAGUAGACAAGGCAGCCUUCAUUCUGACUUCUGCCCAACAGACAGGAGAGAGGAGUUUACUUUUGGUCUGAGGGGACUGCCCUGAGAUCAAGUUUUUCCCCAAUAGGCACCACGUUGCAAUUUUCACUGUGUGAAGGGCUAGCGGGUCAACCCCAAGGUCCGACCAGGUGGUGACAGAUAAGUGAGUUCCUCUAGGGACCCAACAUGUACCUCCCACCAACCCAGAAGACCUGGCCUGACUGUUGCUGGGAUCCAGCCAGCCAUUCCAGAGGGCCAGGCCAUCCCUACUUUGUGUCAAUCAACCCUUCUCUCAAGUUAAUGUCUGUCUGCGGGAUGCCAGCCAGAAAGGUAUCUCUGAUUGGUUUUAGGGCUUAUCUCAGGACUAACCUUGGGGACAGGCAGUCUCCAGGCUUUGAGGGAUUUUCCUGUAAAUUGCCUGGAUAACAAACCCACAAAAACAUCCAGCUUUGAGUUAAAACAAUAACAACAACCAAAAAUUGCUUUUCCUGCUCGCUUAGGCAUUUUGCUGGUGGGGAAGGAGUUGCACAUGCUAGUUUAUUAAAUGUUCACAACAAUCAGUACCUUAAGCUAUACUAUAAGGGCUAUUUUAGGGGUGAUGGUGGGGGCGGAGGUGGAUGUAAGUCUUAGAUUGAAUGAAUUGCCAGAGACUCAAAGCUAGAAACUGACCAAGGAGAGAGUUUCUUUAACCACCAUCAGCUUCAAGCUGACUCUCCUGGUAUAAAGCUUUGAGAUUCUAAAGACUCUGUGCCCAGCAGAUGUGAGCAGCCAUUGGCAUACAAAAUGGUCCCAUCCUUAUGUUGCUAUUUCUGCUUCAGCCCUUUAUUUUCUUCUAGCUCUUUCUUUCAUUUCCCGUGUGAUCUUGGGCAAGUCUCCUAAUUCCUUUGACUCUCACUUUCCUCAGCAGUACAACCACAGUUCUUUCCCAGAUCACAAGAAUUUAAAAACGAAAUGACUAUGACCAGAUGUGAGAGGCAGUUAAACCUGCUGUAGUGAAGAGUUUUGAGCCUGGGAGUAGAUUGGCAGCACUGGAAUCCCAUCUCUUUGACCUUGGGCAAGUGACCUAAAGAUCUGUUCCUCAGUGGAGAAAAAGGAAUUUGUACCUCAUAGGACUGUUGUACCUUUUAAGUAAAUUACUGUAUUAAAGGGGCUUGAAAUAAUUCCUUGCACGCUCUAUGUUAAGUUGCUAUUAUUUUGUUCUAAAUAAAAUCGCCUUAGCGCAAUCAACAACACAUGUUAGAUGCUAAGUAAUGGGCAGUGAUGCACCCUAGUCUUUUGUUGGCAAAAAGAUGAGAAUGAGAGCACCAUUUCAUGGGCCAUGGGCUGAUGUCAAUUUCAUACCAAACAUGAUAUAACAUAACUUUGAGAAGCCAACAGGACAGCAACCCCAGACCUCCAGACCACUAUUUCAGUGUCUUGCAGUGAUUCCUCCCAUCCUUCCAGAGCCUCCACAGAGGCUCAGCUGCCCUGAAGGCAGAGGCAGGGCUAGCCUGAAGCCGAGGAAAUGCCUGUGUAACUCAAGGGAGGAACAGCCAGGGAUUCAACUGUGUAGGUCUGGGCUUCUGGAAGAGUUACUCCUCACCUCACUCCCCAGGGUCAAACUCAAAAAAAAACUUCAUGCAAAAAAGCAAUUUACUUAGCCAGUCACUUUCUAGAUUUGCUCAGCAAUUAUUUCAGCUAUUUGUGUUUAAAUGAGAGUUUUCUCCGUUCCUGCCCAGUGUCUUUCUGCUUCAUUGGGUGCGGAAGCCUUGGCAGCAUUUUCCCUCCUGAUAGCUGAACUUUCGCCAUCACGGAGGCUGGGGGAAGUGGGAGAGCAGCUAAGGAAAAGCAAAAGUUGCAGGUUCUGAGAGUUUCUGAGACCAUAAGGGCAGUGGUUAAAGAAUGGAGAAUGGGCCGCAGAGUCACCUGCCUGGAAGUUUAAUAACAGUAGAUAUUUGUGGCACUUUUCCUAGAGUUUCUGACUCAGUAGGUUUGGGGCAGGGGCAGUGAUGUGGUGAUAAAUACUUAGCAACCAGCUCUCUGGAAAAAUAUGUAAAUAGCCCUGAUUGGUGAAUUUUCAGAUUCCCUAGUACCAGUACUCCCAUCAUGACCAGUUUCAAGCUACUAAUUUGAUGUCACUGAACAAAGUAGGGAAGAGAUGUGCGCAGUAAGCUCUUCUGCGCUGCUAAGAGCUGGUUCCUGGACACCACUGAGUCAAGGCCAGUAAUCUCAUGUUUAUUAACUUCUCCUGGGUGAUUCUGACACAGUGAGUACUGUAACAGGCUUUUUAGGAGUAGGAGAAAUAGAGAUAGAAAAGCACUAUAAGUUUGAGCCUAGAGCUGAGAUUAAUUUGUUUGGGGCAGUUGAUACAUAUUCAUGUGCCACCAUCACUAUUUUUUGUCAUAUUCAUGUGUAUGCUGUACUAUCUGUUGCUUAUUGCUUACUUUUAAUCUACUCAUUAUUUUAUCCUUUCUUUUAAUUACAUGGUAUAAGAAACUAUAAUCACCACCUUAAGUGUAAAACUAUUACUAGUUGCUAUAAAUAAAAAGUAAAUGUAAAGAGCUUAUAAUAAAAGCCAUAUUGUUAAAUUCUAGUUAUAUACCAUUUUCUAUCUAACGUUCUGAGCCUGAGGUCUGUUUUCCCUUUGUGAACAAAUGUUGGAGUGGCAUUAAAGUUCUA
rnacentral:lncRNA from 1 species